rnacentral:tRNA from 10 species
UGGUAAGUAGUUUAAACAAAACAAAUGAUUUCGACUCAUUAGAUUAUGAUAACCAUACUAACCAA